rnacentral:misc_RNA from 1 species
CCGAGUUUGGGACCCUUUGGGUACCAUCUCCCACCAUUUGUGAACCUUUUUCGUUGCCUCGGCGGGUCUGAUGUACCCAUCCUCUGGCUUUUUGCUGGGGAGUAUCCGCCGAUGGAUUUUCAAACCAGACUUUAACCUACAAUCUGAGUCAAACAAAAUAAAAACA